rnacentral:tRNA from 1 species
CUAAGGAAUAAAACGGAAACCUACACAUAGUUGAAACUUUGUUUAGUUUUGAGAGGUUUACUUCUCAAAACAUCAGACGCUUAUUUGGGCCUAUAGCUCAGCUGGUUUAGAGCGCACGCCUGAUAAGCGUGAGGUCGAUGGUUCAAGUCCAUUUAGGCCCAUUAUGGGGAAUUAGCUCAGCUGGGAGAGCACCUGCUUUGCAAGCAGGAGGUCAUCGGUUCGAUUCCGUUAUUCUCCAUUGUCAACCGUGAGGUUGACAGAGCUUGUACUUUGAAAACUAAAUAAUAUCAUUUUUCUUUAUUUAACAAAACAAACCGAGAACACCGCGUUAUUUUGAGUUGUUUAAUGAAAAUAAUCGCUAACUCAAUUAAUCCGAUGAUCACUUAGUGAUCAUCAA